GAUGAAGAACGCAGCAAAAUGCGAUAAGUAAUGUGAAUUGCAGAAUUCAGUGAAUCAUCGAAUCUUUGAACGCACAUUGCGCCCGCCAGUAUUCUGGCGGGCAUGCCUGUCUGAGCGUCAUUUCAACCCUCAUGCCCCUAGGGCGUGGUGUUGGGGAUCGGCCAAAGCCCGCGAGGGACGGCCGGCCCCUAAAUCUAGUGGCGGACCCGUCGUGGCCUCCUCUGCGAAGUAGUGAUAUUCCGCAUCGGAGAGCGACGAGCCCCUGCCGUUAAACCCCCAACUUUCCAAGGUUGACCUCAGAUCAGGUAGGAAUACCCGCUGAACUUAAGCAUAUCAAUAAGCGGAGGA
rnacentral:misc_RNA from 1 species